AGUUGGUGGUUGGAUGGUUCAGCUCCUGCUAGCGAUCUAGAAUUGUUUUUCUUCCUCAUAUAGGUGAUUGGUGGGAGUACAAAAGAAGUAAUGCUCUGCUGAACCGGUGGCUUGCAGGUUUGUCGUUCUAUUGAUUUGAACUUGGCCUAGGGAUUUCCGAAGGAUCCACCAGAAGGAAACCAUGAGCGGAAUCUUCUUUCUGGGAAGAAAAUACUAUUUGAUAUGAGCAUAUAUACACUAUACAGCCUAUGUGAAUGCGAUCAGGGGAGGCCAACACUUUAUUUAUAUUGAGAAUCAGUA